UUUUCUUUUCAAGCCCACAAUUGGCUUUAAAAGCAGUAAGGACGAAAGGAGGCUAAUACUAAUGGAAAAACCAUAUAGAUAUUCUUAGUCAAUAAAAUACUAAUAUUCAAUAAUUCAAAUAGAAAGUUUAACACGUGUGUGUUUAAAACAGCAAGGAUAUUAGCAAUUGUUUGGAUGUUCUGUUCACAAAUUAAGAAUAUUGGACAAAGUUG
rnacentral:misc_RNA from 1 species